GGGAGGGUAGCUCAGUUGGUUAGAGCGCGUCGCUUACACCGACGAUGUCGCAGGUUCGAGUCCUGUCCUUCCCA
rnacentral:tRNA from 2 species